AUUGAACGCUGGCGGCAUGCCUUACACAUGCAAGUCGAACGGCAGCACGGGGCAACCUGGUGGCGAGUGGCGAACGGGUGAGUAAUGCAUCGGAACGUACCUUUCAGUGGGGGAUAACGUAGCGAAAGUUACGCUAAUACCGCAUAUUCUGUGAGCAGGAAAGCAGGGGAUCGCAAGACCUUGCGCUGAUUGAGCGGCCGAUGUCAGAUUAGCUAGUUGGUGAGGUAAAGGCUCACCAAGGCGACGAUCUGUAGCGGGUCUGAGAGGAUGAUCCGCCACACUGGGACCGGGACACGGUCCAGACUCCUACGGGAGGCAGCAGUGGGGAAUUUUGGACAAUGGGGGCAACCCUGAUCCAGCCAUGCGGCGUGAGUGAAGAAGGCCUUCGGGUUGUAAAGCUCUUUCGGCCGGGAAGAAAUCGCACGGGCUAAUACCCUGUGUGGAUGACGGUACCGGAAUAAGAAGCACCGGCUAACUACGUGCCGGCCGCCGCCGUAACAC
rnacentral:rRNA from 1 species